rnacentral:sRNA from 1 species
UGUCGCUGCCCUCCUUGGGCGUUUCCUCCCUAGACUUGGGCCGUUCGGAUCUAUUUCGAACGGCCCUUUUUUAUGUCUGC